GAUGAACGCUGGCGGCGUGCCUAAUACAUGCAAGUCGAGCGAACAGACGAGGAGCUUGCUCCUCUGACGUUAGCGGCGGACGGGUGAGUAACACGUGGAUAACCUACCUAUAAGACUGGGAUAACUUCGGGAAACCGGAGCUAAUACCGGAUAAUAUAUUGAACCGCAUGGUUCAAUAGUGAAAGACGGUUUUGCUGUCACUUAUAGAUGGAUCAGCGCCGCAUUAGCUAGUUGGUAAGGUAACGGCUUACCAAGGCAACGAUGCGUAGCCGACCUGAGAGGGGGGUUCGCCACACUGGCACUGAGAAACGGUCCCGACUCCUAAGGGGGGCAACAGUAAGGAAUCCUACGGCAUGGGGCAAAGGCUUAAGGGGGAACGCCGGCGGAAGGAUGAAGGUCCUAGGCUCCGUAAACUCUGUUAUUAGGGAAGAACAAAUGUGUAAGUAACUAUGCACGUCUUGACGGUACCUAAUCAGAAAGCCACGGCUAACUACGUG
rnacentral:rRNA from 1 species